UACGUAGGCAGCAAGCGUUGUUCGGAGUUACUGGGCGUAAAGGGUGCGUAGGCGGCUUUUUAAGUCUGGUGUGAAAUCUCCCGGCUCAACUGGGAGGGUGCGCCGGAUACUGAGGGGCUAGAGUGUGGGAGAGGAAAGUGGAAUUCCUGGUGUAGCGGUGAAAUGCGUAGAUAUCAGGAGGAACACCGGUGGUGUAAACGGCUUUCUGGACCAUAACUGACGCUGAGGCAUGAAAGCGUGGGUAGCAAACAGG
rnacentral:rRNA from 1 species